GUGCUUACUUCGGCAGCACAUAUACUAAAAUUGGAAAGAUACAGAGAUUGGCAUGGCCCCUGUCCAAGGAUGACACAAAUUCUUGAAGCAUUCAAUAUUAAA